rnacentral:rRNA from 1 species
UAAUACAGAGGUCCCGAGCGUUGUUCGGAUUCACUGGGCGUAAAGGGUGCGUAGGUGGUGGGAUAAGUCGGAUGUGAAAUCUCGGAGCUCAACUCCGAAAAUGCAUUGGAAACUGUCCUGCUAGAGGGUUGGAGGGGGGACUGGAAUACUUGGUGUAGCAGUGAAAUGCGUAGAUAUCAAGUGGAACACCGGUGGCGAAGGCGAGUCCCUGGACAACACCUGACACUGAGGCACGAAAGCUAGGGGAGCAAACAGGAUUAGAUACCCUGGUAGUCCUAGCCGUAAACGGUGCACGUUUGCUGUAAGAGGAAUCGACCCCUUUUGUGGCGAAGCCAACGCGAUAAACGUGCCGCCUGGGGAAGUACGGUCGCAAGAUUAAAACUCAAAGAAAUUGACGGGGGCCUGCACAAGCCGGUGGAGUAUGUGGCUCAAUUCGAUGCCACGCCAAAGAACCUUACCUGGCCUUGACAUGCACGUAGUUAGGAAGAUGAAAAUCCGACGAGGUAGCAAUUCCAGCGUGCACAGGUGCU